rnacentral:lncRNA from 1 species
AGCAGGUUCCAGCACACCCCUGUUUCCAUGGAACUAGAAGAUUACAUCUUCUAUAUUUGUGGUAUCCUCAGUUGGCAGGAUUAGAUCUCCUACCUUCCCAUAUUGAGAGGUUGAGAGAUUUACUCCAGUUGACAAGUUAUAGCAUCACAGGACCUAAGAUCUGAUGAUGACAUUAUUCCCUGAGCAUUAUACUGCACAACUGCUGACCUGAAGUAAUAUUUAUAGUAAUACAGAGAUAUACUGUUUAUGUUUAAUAUCCAGGCUCUCCAUAACAUGUAUAUGCAAAUAUAUAUACAGAGGAGAUGUACAUACAUAUAGAUAUGCAUGUACAC